AGCGAACGCUGGCGGCAGGCUUAACACAUGCAAGUCGAGCGGGCACUUUCGGGUGUUAGCGGCGGACGGGUGAGUAACGCGUGGGAACGUGCCCUCUGGUUCGGAAUAACUCAGGGAAACUUGAGCUAAUACCGGAUACGCCCUUUUGGGGAAAGGCUUGCUGCCGGAGGAUCGGCCCGCGUCUGAUUAGCUAGUUGGUGAGGUAACGGCUCACCAAGGCGACGAUCAGUAGCUGGUCUGAGAGGAUGAUCAGCCACACUGGGACUGAGACACGGCCCAGACUCCUACGGGAAGCAGCAGUGGGGAAUAUUGGACAAUGGGCGCAAGCCUGAUCCAGCCAUGCCGCGUGAGUGAUGAAGGCCUUAGGGUUGUAAAGCUCUUUUAUCCGGGACGAUAAUGACGGUACCGGAGGAAUAAGCCCCGGCUAACUUCGUG
rnacentral:rRNA from 1 species